UACGUAGGGUGCAAGCGUUGUCCGGAAUUAUUGGGCGUAAAGAGCUUGUAGGCGGUUUGUCGCGCCUGCUGUGAAAUUUCGGGGCUCAACCCCGAACUUGCAGUGGGUACGGGCAGACUAGAGUGUGGUAGGGGAGACUGGAAUUCCUGGUGUAGCGGUGAAAUGCGCAGAUAUCAGGAGGAACACCGAUGGCGAAGGCAGGUCUCUGGGCCACUACUGACGCUGAGAAGCGAAAGCAUGGGGAGCGAACAGG
rnacentral:rRNA from 1 species